GUUACUUCCUGUGGAACCCGUGGAUUGGAAGGUUAUCUAGGCUGCUGCAGAACUCUUCCACCCUGUGCACAGAGAAGUACAUAAAGUGGGAUCUUUCUCAGUGGAGCAGUAUAUAAAACAGAUGCAGACUGAAGGAUGUUAGAAGCACAAAGAAGGUCAUGUGCACGACAUUCAGCUGAGUACAAAAUUCAACAUCUGGAAGAGUAGAGACAGGGUUUCACCAUGUCACCAUGUUGGCCAGGAUGGUCUCGAUCUCCUGACCUCGUGAUCCGCCUGCCUCGGCCUCCCAAAGUGCUGGGAUUACAGACGUGAGCCACUGCGCCCAGCCAGGUAAUACUCUUCUACAUUUUCUAUAUGAUGCCCUCAUGAGUUACAAUUAUUCCUAGCCCUGUGUGAGCUAGUGGAAUUGUUAGACCUACUCCUUUGUACUACUCCCCUCUGGGGGUUCUUUUUCGAGUCUUGGGUAAUCUUUUCUCCCAUUGCAGAUAUCCAUAUUUACCUAAAUACCCCAGCGGUCCAUCUUCAGAUUUUCAGCUCUCUCUCUCUCUCUCUCUCUCUCCCCCCACUAUUUUUCUUUCUCUCCAGCUCCCUAGUCUCCAGUACUUCACCCUACAAGUUCUGGCCAACUUGGCCUUGCCAAACUCCAAAAUCUGUUUCCUCAAUUGAGUGAUAUUUCCAGACUUUGUUUGGGUACAUCUCACUCUGCUGUGCCUUAAAAAUUGCCUUUCAGGUAGUAAGUUGGUACAACCAUAGGCUCACAUUGUUGCUUUGUCUUUUCUUAGGGAUUAUAGUCCUGCAUUACAUACGGUCUGAUGCCUGAAAUUAUUAUUUUCCAUAUAUUGUCUAGUAAGGUAAAUCUGAAGUCUUACUAUACUCCUUUUGCAUAACUCCGCUCUGCCAUUAUGCUGUGUAAUUUUCAUUAACAUGCUUUCUUUUUCCUCCUUUUCUCUCUCUCAUUAAAUGGCUCAAUAUUUUUUUCAGCUCUUUUGAAAAUUCAAAGUCCAUUUUAUUUAAUCUACUUUAUUUUCCUUUAGGUAGUUAUCCUUAAUUAAUUAUAAUCAAUAUUUUGGGUUAUUUUUACCCAUCAUUUUGUUAAAUUUACCAAUAUCUAUAUUUUGCCUCAAACUAGAUACUCUGGCAAGUUAUCUUUUUCCUCUUGUUUUUCACCGACCUGCCCCUGUUGCCUAACAUUAUAUUUUUAUCUAAAACUUCAUAUCUGGAUUGUUAUCACUGUACAAUUUGGAUUUGUUUAUUUAGAUAAUAGUUGACAUAAUUAUGAUAUUUUAUUACCCACUUUAGAGCAUCCUCCUAUUUUUAUUUACAUCUUUCUGGUAUACCUCCUCCAACAACACUUUCAGAGAGGGUCAUUGUGUGAUAAAGUCGUUGAAGCCUUUUAUGAGUGAAAACAUUACUCUUCUUUUGCUUUUUUGGAUCUAAAGUUAUCUUUAAAUUUGCCCUGAACAUAUGAGGGGGCUCAAAAAGUUCACAGAAAAAUGUGUAUUGUGAAAAAACUAUGCAUGGAUUUCAAAAUAUUUCUGGCACCAAAAUAAGCUUACACUAACUUGUUAUAACAUGUCUGAACAGGAUCUAGUUUGAAGCAUUAAGAAAGAUAAGACAUCAGUUUGAAAAGAGCCCCCAUUGUAGCAACAUGAAUUCAGCUGAAAUUGAAGCAGGAACUUCAAUUGUGGUGAAGCUUGGGUGAAAGAAUGGUAAAAUAAUUGAUGCUUUACAAAAAGUUUAUGGGGACAAUGACCCAAAUAAAUCAACAAUUUACAGAUGAAUAACUCAUUUUAAGAAGAACAAGAUGAUGUUGAAAUGAAGCCCACAAUAGCAGACCAUCCACAUCAAUUUGUGAGAAAAAAAUUAAUGUUGUUUGUACUCUUGCGCUGAUUGAAGAGAACUGACAAUUAACCGGAGAAAAAUAGUCAACACCAUAGAUAUCUCAAUUAGUUCAACUUACACAAUUCUGACUAAAAAAUUAAAGUUGAACACAUUUUCCCCUCAAUGGGUGCUAAAACUGUUGUGCUCAUAUCAAGACAGAGAACAAGCUCUGUCUUGUGCAGACAAGAGCAGAGCUUUCAAUGGAAAUUUUUAAAAAGUGGGAUCAAGAUCCUGAAGCAUGUCUCUGAAGAAGAUCCUGAAGCAUGUCUCUGAAGACCUAUAAUAGGAGAUGAAACAUGACUUUACCAGUACAACCUUGAAGACAAAGCACAAUCAAAGCAAUGGCUACCAAGAUGUAAAAGUGGUCCAGUCAAAGCAGAAGCAGACAGGUCAAGAGCAGAAGUUAUGGUAACAGCUGAAGUGCCAAAGAAUAAUAACAUCUGCUUAUUAUGGGAGUGUUUUGAAAAAGUUAGCAAAAACUUUAGCAGAAUUAGCAAAAGCUUUAGCAGAAUUAGCAAAAGCUUUAGCAGAAAAAUACCCAUGAAAGCUCCAACAGAGUCUCUUGCCACCACAACAAAGCUCCUGCUCAUUCCUCUCAUCAAACAAGAGCAAUUUUGCUAGAGUUUCAAUGGGAAACAUUAAGCGUUCACCUUACAGUUCUGAUUUGACUCUUUCUGAUUUCCUUUAGUUUCCUAAUCUUAAAAAAAAAAAAAACAGUAAAGAUCACUCAUUUUUCUUUAGUUAGUAAUGUAAAAAAAAAAAAUGCAUUAUAUGGUUGAAUUCUGAGGACCCCUCAAUUCUUUAGGCGUGGGCUAAAUGGCUGGGAUCAUUACUUACAAAAGUUUCUUGAUCUCAGUGGAGCUUAUGUUGGGAAAUCACGGUGAUAUUUUUAAUUUUCAACUUUUAAUUCCAUUUUUCCAUGAACUUUGUAAAGCCCUUCAUAUUAUUCCAUACUCUUAUUUAUCUAGCACAGUUGCCAGUUAGUUUCUUGUCCAGUGGUCAGUGUUGUACUGUUACUUUACUAAAAUGUAUCGAAGUUUCUCUUUGUGUUUGAUACU